CUGGGCGUGAAGAUAAAACCAACAUCUGACUUACAGUGAAGGUGUUUGUAUUCAUACUGUCUGACCCAG